AACAUGUGUCAGCAGCAGCAGCAGCUACAGCAGCAACAACUGCCUCGACAUCUGCUCGAGCGCUUCAAGUGCUAAGAGACUUUCAGCCAAGCACCGAAGUUCGUUGGACUAAAGCAGCAUAAGAAGAAGAGGAAGAAGAAGCUACCUCAAGCAGAAGAAGAAGAAGAGCCGGAAGAAGUGGAGAAUUAGACACUGCGAUUGCAGCUCGUUCCCGUCAAUCCCCAAGGUAUUUCCAGAAUCUAACUGCGGAUACUUGAAGGCUUAACACAUACCAGCAUACCAGCACCCACCCAGACACCCACACACCCACACACACACACACACAUAUACGCGCACGCUUGCGUACGCACACUCAUACGCAGAUUGAUAGUCGUAUGGAACGAAUCGUGAGAAAUCGUCAGAGCAAAACUAUGAUAACACGACUCUACAACACCGAGGAGGAUCCCGCCUAUUGCUCCGUCAUCUGGGGCGCGAAUCUGACCAGCAGCAGCGACCUCGUCCUGGGCACCGCCACCAAUGCCACCCACAUUUACGCUAACGACUUGCGAGACGACCUAUAUGCGGAUGUGGAGGAUCCGCGCACCGAAGCGCUACGCGAAUACUGCUAUGGCCUGAUGCUGCCCAUCAUCUGCGCCCUGGGCAUCAUUGGCAACGUGCUCAACCUAAUUGUCCUGACCCGACGCAAUAUGCGCGGCACCGCCUACAUCUACAUGCGAGCCUACUCGACGGCCGCACUGCUUGCCAUUGUCUUUGCCAUACCCUUUGGCAUACGCAUGCUGGUGCACAAGGAUCGCGGCCAGUGGGAGGAGUUUGGACCGGCCUUCUAUACGGCCCACUUGGAGCUUUUUCUCGGUAACGGCUGUCUGGGUGUGGGCGUCAUGAUGCUAUUGGUGCUGACCAUCGAGCGUUAUGUCUCCGUGUGUCAUCCGGGUUUCACGCGACCCGUGAUGGGUCCGCCAGGCGUGGUCGUCUUCAUCACCUGCUUGGUGACCUUCGUCAUCUACUUGCCGAGCAUCUUUCGCGGCGAGCUCAUCAAGUGCAUGCUGACCUCGAACAACGUGUACGUGUAUCUCCGGCGGGACAACAACAUCUACCAGCGCACCAUCUUCUACUCGGUGUACAAGAUAAUGCUCGAGGUGAUCUUCAAGCUCGUGCCGACCGUCGUGAUCGCUGGCCUCAAUUUGCGCAUCAUGCUCGUCUAUCGCCGGACCUGCGAGCGCCGCCGUCAGAUGGUACUGUCGCGCUCGACCUAUGUGAAGGACGACGAUCCGCGCAAGUUUGCCGAGGAGCGACGGCUGUUCCUGCUGCUCGGCAGCACCUCGAUCCUGUUCCUGCUCUGCGUCUCGCCCAUGGCCAUAUUGCACAUGACCAUCGCCUCGGAGGUGCUGCCCAGCUUUCCGUUUCAGGUGUUCCGGGCACUGGCCAACCUGCUAGAGCUGAUCAACUACUCGAUUACGUUCUACAUCUACUGCCUGUUCAGCGAGGACUUUCGCAACACGCUGAUGCGCACCAUCAAGUGGCCGUGGCUGAAGGGCAAGCUGUGCCACCAGGUGGAUGAGGUGAGUGCCACACCGCCAGCAACGGCUACAGCAGCGGUUUGUAAUCCAGUUUGCCCGACAACUCUUCACACAGACCACACAGGCCAUCAUGGGUGUUCCAAUGGUGCGAUUCGAAAAGAUUACAGACUAUAAACCAGACAGACCGAUCAAGACAAGCAAGUUUGAGUUUGAAGUUUAGAUUGAGGAAUUUCCCAAAGAGAGGAAGAAGAAGAAGUAAUGCAUAUGAAGCACUCGACUAAUAUAUAUAAUCGACGAAAAUUAUUGGUGUUGUUCCAUAUUGAUGGUAGAAAAUGAAUUUUCAAGGAAACAUUUAAGAAAAUAUACAAAAUUACGGAUAAGAAAAUACAAAUAUGAAAAUCAAUAUUCAAUACAGGUUAUAAAAUUGCAAACCAAAGAAUUUAGAUAGUUGAAGUGGAAGAGGGAGA